rnacentral:ncRNA from 1 species
CGACAGGCGGAAGGCUGUGACGCGUGGCCCAUGCCCCGGCCGCCGGGACCGCGCCGAGCCACUGGCGAGACCGACCGCCCGCAU